AUUGAACGCUGGCGGCAUGCCUUACACAUGCAAGUCGAACGGCAGCACGGGAGCAAUCCUGGUGGCGAGUGGCGAACGGGUGAGUAAUAUAUCGGAACGUGCCCAGUCGUGGGGAUAACGUAGCGAAAGCUACGCUAAUACCGCAUACUAUCUAUGGAUGAAAGCGGGGGAUCGCAAGACCUCGCGCGAUUGGAGCGGCCGAUAUCAGAUUAGGUAGUUGGUGAGGUAAAGGCUCACCAAGCCGACGAUCUGUAGCUGGUCUGAGAGGACGACCAGCCACACUGGGACUGAGACACGGCCCAGACUCCUACGGGAGGCAGCAGUGGGGAAUUUUGGACAAUGGGCGCAAGCCUGAUCCAGCAAUGCCGCGUGCAGGAUGAAGGCCU
rnacentral:rRNA from 1 species